GAUGAACGCUGGCGGCGUGCCUAAUACAUGCAAGUCGAGCGAGCAGAUGAGGAGCUUGCUCCUCUGACGUUAGCGGCGGACGGGUGAGUAACACGUGGAUAACCUGCCUAUAAGACUGGGAUAACUUCGGGAAACCGGAGCUAAUACCGGAUAAUAUAUUGAACCGCAUGGUUCAAUAGUGAAAGACGGUUUUGCUGUCACUUAUAGAUGGAUCCGCGCCGCAUUAGCUAGUUGGUAAGGUAACGGCUUACCAAGGCAACGAUGCGUAGCCGACCUGAGAGGGUGAUCGGCCACACUGGAACUGAGACACGGUCCAGACUCCUACGGGAGGCAGCAGUAGGGAAUCUUCCGCAAUGGGCGAAAGCCUGACGGAGCAACGCCGCGUGAGUGAUGAAGGUCUUCGGAUCGUAAAACUCUGUUAUUAGGGAAGAACAAAUGUGUAAGUAACUAUGCACGUCUUGACGGUACCUAAUCAGAAAGCCACGGCUAACUACGUG
rnacentral:rRNA from 1 species